rnacentral:rRNA from 1 species
UUUUUCCUACAGGACGCAGCAGUGAGGAAUAUUGGUCAAUGGCCGGGAGGCUGAACCAGCCAAGUCGCGUGAGGGAGGACGGCCCUACGGGUUGUAAACCUCUUUUGUCAGGGAGCAAGGUGCAGGUCGGGACCUGCUGUGAGAGUACCUGAAGAAAAAGCAUCGGCUAACUCCGUGCCAGCAGCCGCGGUAAUACGGAGGAUGCGAGCGUUAUCCGGAUUUAUUGGGUUUAAAGGGUGCGCAGGCGGAGGCACAAGUCAGCGGUAAAAUCGCGGGGCUCAACCCCGCUCCGCCGUUGAAACUGG